UUGGCUGCACAAUAGAUUGGAAGAAUUUGAAAUCAGCAUUUUUCACCAACUGCUACCAAAAACACGGGAAGCAUGAUGUGUGUUAAAUAAGAUUCCUCAAGCUGCUCAGCAACUGAUAGCAAAAUCUGCAGAGAUUACUGAACCUUGAAUGUUUCAGAAAUAAGAAAGAAAAAUUGCAGAAAAAGAGCAAAUAAGGAAAUGAAAUGGAAACUCAAAGCACUGGAAAAAAAAUCCUAAUGUGAGAUAAGUAACUUGGUAAUUCUGUUUCUUUGUUAUCUUCCUUCCGGGGCAAUAGUUCUGCCAACUGAAUCAAAUUGGGAAAACACUCAAUGUGCAGCCACCCCAAAGACCAUAACCAAUAAAAUAGAAGCCAAAAAUACCUUCCAAAUUCUCAUCUUUUCAAUAUCAGAAUUCAGUUUUAAGAUACAAAAACAAAAAUGCACAUGUAGAACUAACUUGCAACUGAGGCACAAGUAGCAUUCCAAGAAACUCCACAAACUGGGAAAUGACAUUUGCAUUUUGUUCAUCUCAUCAAUUAGAUGUGGAAUUUCGACACAAGGGGUCUAUAAAUGGAGUGCACUCAAAUUGGCAGCAAAAUUGAUCCAUGAAAUCCAGCAAUGACAACAUAACAAGAUUUUAAAUAAAGAUGAAAAAAAGGAAUUAAUAUAGCAGCAUGACAUGAAACUCCAAAACCAUAAAAUUACUGCCAAAGCUAUAUAUAUACACAUCAAAAUUCAGAUAUACUAUGGAAACUCCUAUUACACACAACACACAUACAAAGAGCGAAAAAACCCUAAACAAAAUCGGAAUUAUGUUGGCGUUUUCUUCACCACCCAUGGUGAUUUUUUAUGGAACGACCUCCUUCUUCAGGUGUUAGUGUUUUGUUAUUUCA
rnacentral:lncRNA from 1 species